rnacentral:rRNA from 1 species
AGCGAACGCUGGCGGCAUGCCUAACACAUGCAAGUCGAACGAGACCUUCGGGUCUAGUGGCGCACGGGUGCGUAACGCGUGGGAAUCUGCCCUUGGGUUCGGAAUAACAGCGAGAAAUUGCUGCUAAUACCGGAUGAUGACGUAAGUCCAAAGAUUUAUCGCCCAAGGAUGAGCCCGCGUAGGAUUAGCUAGUUGGUGAGGUAAAGGCUCACCAAGGCGACGAUCCUUAGCUGGUCUGAGAGGAUGAUCAGCCACACUGGGACUGAGACACGGCCCCAGACUCCUACGGGAGGCAGCAGUGGGGAAUAUUGGACAAUGGGCGAAAGCCUGAUCCAGCAAUGCCGCGUGAGUGAUGAAGGCCUUAGGGUUGUAAAGCUCUUUUACCCGGGAUGA